rnacentral:rRNA from 1 species
GAAUUCACUAGUGAUUCAGGCCUAACACAUGCAAGUCGAGCGAUGAUUAAAGAUAGCUUGCUAUUUUUAUGAAGAGCGGCGAACGGGUGAGUAACGCGUGGGAAAUCUGCCGAGUAGCGGGGGACAACGUUUGGAAACGAACGCUAAUACCGCAUAACAAUGAGAAUCGCAUGAUUCUUAUUUGAAAGAAGCAAUUGCUUCACUACUUGAUGAUCCCGCGUUGUAUUAGCUAGUUGGUAGUGUAAAGGACUACCAAGGCGAUGAUACAUAGCCGACCUGAGAGGGUGAUCGGCCACACUGGGACUGAGACACGGCCCAGACUCCUACGGGAGGCAGCAGUAGGGAAUCUUCGGCAAUGGGGGCAACCCUGACCGAGCAACGCCGCGUGAGUGAAGAAGGUUUUCGGAUCGUAAAACUAAAAGUGGUUAGAGAAGAACGUUAAGUAGAGUGGAAAAUUACUUAAGUGACGGUAUCUAACCAGAAAAG